rnacentral:rRNA from 1 species
GGGUUGUGAGGUUAAGCGACUAAGCGUACACGGUGGAUGCCCUGGCAGUCAGAGGCGAUGAAGGACGUGCUAAUCUGCGAUAAGCGUCGGUGAGGUGAUAUGAACCGUUAUAACCGGCGAUUUCCGAAUGGGGAAACCCAGUGUGUUUCGACACACUAUCAUUAACUGAAUCCAUAGGUUAAUGAGGCGAACCGGGGGAACUGAAACAUCUAAGUACCCCGAGGAAAAGAAAUCAACCGAGAUUCCCCCAGUAGCGGCGAGCGAACGGGGAGCAGCCCAGAGCCUGAAUCAGUGUGUGUGUUAGUGGAAGCGUCUGGAAAGGCGCGCGAUACAGGGUGACAGCCCCGUACACAAAAAUGCACAUGCUGUGAGCUCGAUGAGUAGGGCGGGACACGUGGUAUCCUGUCUGAAUAUGGGGGGACCAUCCUCCAAGGCUAAAUACUCCUGACUGACCGAUAGUGAACCAGUACCGUGAGGGAAAGGCGAAAAGAACCCCGGCGAGGGGAGUGAAAAAGAACCUGAAACCGUGUACGUACAAGCAGUGGGAGCCUCUUUAUGGGGUGACUGCGUACCUUUUGUAUAAUGGGUCAGCGACUUAUAUUCUGUAGCAAGGUUAACCGAAUAGGGGAGCCGAAGGGAAACCGAGUCUUAACUGGGCGUUAAGUUGCAGGGUAUAGACC